UUUAGGAGAGAUGCCCAAGGUUAGAUAUUUUCCCCUUUCUUUGAUUUCUAUCCCUGCCUCUGCUACUACUGGACACAUAUUCUCUCUCUCUCUCGAUCUCUCGAUCUGUCAGAUUUCUUUUUCUUUCUUCCAUUCGAUUCAUUGUCAUAACAUUGAAUCGAAUAUCUAUUUUCAACAAGAUUAAUCAGAGUUAUCUUUCCUAAACCUAUAUCUCAGAAACAAACCGAUCUUCAGAAACCAAACCCAGUCUUUCAAUAAUCCAUUUGAACCCUAAAAGUUUGAUUUUUUCCGACAUAAUCCCUAGAAAACGAAAUCUCUAUACUCUAUGCACGACCUAUUGCUGACUAGUCCAAGAAUAUGAGUUUGUAAAACCCUUGAUUCUUCGUAAGUGUUGAUGCUAUGAGUCUGAUUUUUAUAUAUAUAGUAACUUUUUUUUUUCAAGAACCCUCAAUUUUUAUGCUGCUUCAUUUGAUUCCAUGGAGUUCAAAUAAUGGGUUUGGUUCUAAUUUCAGUUUUAUGAUUUGAGUUAUGAGUUAGGUUAUUAUAUUCGUGUACAAUCUGGUUGUAUUGAUUUUCUUGGGUUUAUUUUUGUUUUGAUUUGGCUGGUGUUGAUAGUAUUCCAUCAUUUAUAUUUAAAUUUUUUUGGAUUUACAAUGAAUUUGGUUUGUGUUUCUUUUGAGAAAACAUUGAGAAGAUUAGUCAAAAGAAGAGAAGUAGGAAGAAUUAGAUUUUGGGGGGUUCUCAAGCACAACAGUUUCAUGGUGAUCCAUCUAAAUGACAUUGGUAAGAGAUUAGACAGUGAAUCAGUGAAGUGCAACACACUUUAACAGAAGACAGUGAACCAGUGAUGCUUCCAAGCCGUGUUCCAAGCGUUGUGGAAUACCUUGUCCAGUGGGAGGAAUUAUUAUCUACGCUGCACAUGAGGAUAAGAAUCAGAUUUACCUGUCAUCCGUGAAGCAUCCAACGCAAUUGCAUUAGGGAUCUGAAUUUGGAUUGAUGGGGGAUCAAAUGUUGAGAAACUUGGGGUUGCAAAACAUCCAAACUUUUAUUAAAAUGGUGCUGGCAUUUAUGUUAGCAUCUCUCUUUCCUUGGGAUUGCAUCAAACUUGGUUUGAUCUUGUAUUGGGUACCUCCAAUGUAGACGAUGGAUUGUGCGGUCACUUAACAAAAGUAACUCACUUAUCCAUCCAUUCUAAUAUGAGAUACUAAGAAGGUUUUUAAUUCCCACUUUUGUAUUUAAGAGUAAGGAAUGUACCUUAAACCUUGUUUGCUGAAGCUCUAUAAGUAUUCUCUAUUUAAAUUACUUGCUUUGUCAUGUUCUAUUAGAUACCAUUUCCUAGUAAACAAACUUGAGCAACUGAUUCGAUCGGGAAGUGUUUUACUGUGUUGCAGUAUAUUUGCAGCUCUGGAGAUAUAAAUCACAAUUAAUGGAAGCAUUGAUAAGCAGGAUCUUCGAGCAUUUCUGAAUUGGGAUGAAGUCCAUCUCGAUGUUCCAUUGUCAAGAUACCCCUCCAACUCAUCUAACUGAUAAGUUGGAGCCUGUAUGAUUCAAUUAUAGUCGGGUAUACAACUUAAUGUAAUUUUGAUACUCUUUUGUUGUUAUAUAACUUUUAAUUUUGACCAUUGUCCAGUGUUUAUUAGGUACUGGUUCAUUGAGGGUUGGGUUGAAUUCUUGACAACUGCAGUGUCUAUCAGUUACUGUUUUACUGUGAACCACCUAUUAGUUUUUUUUGUAAUGUUGGUACUGCUUUUCAUCCUCAUUAGGUAUUAUUUUUACUCUUAAUGUCUACACCUUUUGGUUUAUUUCAUAAGCACAAGAUAGAUAAAUCUAUGGAUAUGGAGUUGCAUCGAAAUGUUAAUUGUAGAGCUUUUCAAAGGUAACCACUUGGUAAGUAUUGUGUUGUAGACGUUGCUUCUACUAUUGUUGUUGAAACGCUUUAACAUAUAAGCUGGUUGAACUAGACACUUGAUUAUUAUGGUAUUGUGGAAGUAGAACCACAUGUAAAAACUCUUAGAUGAUAAUCACUAUAAAUUAUAAGACAGUUGUUUCUGAGAACACUUUAUAUGUAAUAAAGGUUUACUUGUACACCAUACUCUAUCGUUUAGAACGUUGUUAAAUUACUAAUGAUCGGACAUAUUUUUGCUACAUAUAUGUCAUACCCAUCAGUUAGGAAGCUUAGGUAUAUUGAUUGUGUUGCCUUCAAGCUAUAAGUUCUUCUUUUGCUUUUUAACUCUGAUAUAAAUAUGUAUGAGUGUACUUGUGUCCAUUUUAGCAAGCGUAUAAUAUAUUUGCUAAUAGAUUCUAUUUGUGAUUGCACGUUCUAGAUAUUGAACUGGAACAACCUAAACUCUACAUAGGUGAAGCAAAGUUGGAAUGGCAGAAGUAAUUAAACCGGGAAAAGUUCUAUAUGAAUAAUGAAAAUCAGAAGAAGAAGCUAGCUGAAACGUUAGGAUCCAAGUGGAGGAGCAAGGAUGAGCUUAAACGCUUUUAUGAAGCAUAUGGGAAAGACUUCAUUUUUGUUUUUUCUUGUAUCUGCUUUGUUACUUAUGUUAACAAUAGUAAAAAUGGCAAAGUAAUAAAUCUGGAUCUUGGGUGAUUGUUGAUUCUUGAAGUAGUAUAAUAUGUAUACAAAUUGUUCUUCACUAUUAUAUUUGAUUCUAGUUUUGUAUUCA